rnacentral:rRNA from 1 species
CAGUCGCCACGGGAAUACAGAGGGUGCGAGCGUUAAUCGGAUUUACUGGGCGUAAAGCGUGCGUAGGCGGCUUCUUAAGUCGGAUGUGAAAUUCCUGAGCUUAACUUAGGAAUUGCAUUCGAUACUGGGAAGCUAGAGUAUGGGAGAGGAUGGUAGAAUUCCAGGUGUAGCGGUGAAAUGCGUAGAGAUCUGGAGGAAUACCGAUGGCGAAGGCAGCCAUCUGGCCUAAUACUGACGCUGAGGUACGAAAGCAUGGGGAGCAAACAGGAUUAGAUACCCCCGUAGUCCCUGUCUCUUAUAC